UACAGAGGGUGCGAGCGUUGUUCGGAAUCAUUGGGCGUAAAGCGCUUGUAGGCGGCUUGUUAAGUCGCGUGUGAAAUCCCUUGGCUCAACCAAGGAAGUGCGCGCGAAACUGGCGAGCUCGAGUGCCGGAGAGGGUCGCGGAAUUCCCGGUGUAGAGGUGAAAUUCGAUGAGAUAUCGGGAGGAACACCAGUGGCGAAGGCGGCGACCUGGACGGACAC
rnacentral:rRNA from 1 species